GGAUGUGAGGGCUAUCUGGCAGUGACAUCUCUCGCCCCAUUGACCGCCAACGUUGAUUCGGCUGAUCUGGCUGGCUAGGCGGGUGUCCCCAUCCUCCUUCCCCGCCUCAUGUGUGUGUCUCUCGAAGCUGCACACUUGGUCGAAGAGGACAGCCUUGCCUGAUAGACGAGGAGCGUUCAUUGGUCAAGGGUCAUCGGUCAAGGAUAUACCAGUGGCUGUGCUCCCCUACUGGAACUUGUAAACAGGUUCUUUUCUGGAAAAAGAAAACAAAAAAAAAGAUUGAUAAAACUUUAUGAUGAAGAGGAAAUCAGGGACUCUUACAU
ensembl:misc_RNA 7SK 7SK RNA